UACGAAGGGGGGCUAGCGUUGCUCGGAAUCACUGGGCGUAAAGCGCACGUAGGCGGACUCUUAAGUCGGUGGUGAAAUCCUGGAGCUCAACUCCAGAACUGCCUUCGAUACUGAGAGUCUUGAGUCCGGGAGAGGUGAGUGGAACUGCGAGUGUAGAGGUGAAAUUCGUAGAUAUUCGCAAGAACACCAGUGGCGAAGGCGGCUCACUGGCCCGGUACUGACGCUGAGGUGCGAAAAGCGUGGGGGAGCAAACAGGG
rnacentral:rRNA from 1 species